rnacentral:rRNA from 1 species
GACGAACGCUGGCGGCGUGCCUAACACAUGCAAGUCGAACGGGGUAGUUCCUUCGGGGACUACUUAGUGGCGAACGGGUGGGUAACGCGUGAGGAACCUGCCUUUCAGUGGGGGACAACAGUUGGAAACGACUGCUAAUACCGCAUAAUAUGUACGGAUCGCAUGGUCUGUACAUCAAAGAUUUAUUGCUGAAAGAUGGCCUCGCGUCUGAUUAGCUAGUUGGUGGGGUAACGGCCCACCAAGGCGACGAUCAGUAGCCGGUCUGAGAGGAUGAACGGCCACAUUGGGACUGAGAUACGGCCCAGACUCCUACGGGAGGCAGCAGUGGGGAAUAUUGGGCAAUGGGGGAAACCCUGACCCAGCAACGCCGCGUGAAGGAAGAAGGCCUUCGGGUUGUAGACUUCUUUUACCAGGGACGAAGAACGUGACGGUACCUGGAGAAAAAGCAACGGCUAACUACGUGCCAGCAGCCGCAGUAACAC